CCUACGGGAGACAGCAGUGGGGAAUAUUGCACAAUGGGGGAAACCCUGAUGCAGCGACGCCGCGUGAGUGAAGAAGGAAUUCGUUAUGUAAAGCUCUAUCAGCAGGGAAGAAAAUGACGGUACGUGAGUAAGAAGCCCCGGCUAAUUACGUGCCAGCAGCCGCUGGAAUACGGAGGGGGCAAACAUUAUCCGGAUUUACGGGGAUGAAAGUGAGCGGAGUCGGGAGGGCAAGUCUGGAGUGAAAGGCGGGGGUUCAACCCCCGGACUGCUCUGGAAACUGUACGGCUGGAGUGCAGGAGAGGUAAGUGGAAUUCCUAGUGUAGCGGUGAAAUGCGUAGAUAUUAGGAGGAACACCAGUGGCGAAGGCGGCUUACUGGACUGUAACUGACGUUGAGGCUCGAAAGCGUGGGGAGCAAACAGGAUUAGAUACCCUUGUAGUC
rnacentral:rRNA from 1 species